GACGUAGGGCGCGAGCGUUGUCCGGAUUUAUUGGGCGUAAAGAGCUCGUAGGCGGCUUGUUGCGUCGACUGUGAAAACCCGCGGCUUAACUGCGGGCUUGCAGUUGAUACGGGCAGGCUAGAGUUCGGUAGGGGAGACUGGAAUUCCUGGUGUAGCGGUGAAAUGCGUAGAUAUCGGGAGGAACACCAGUGGCGAAGGCGGUUGCCUGGAGCUUUGCUGACGCUGAUGCGCGAAAGCGUGGGGAGCGAUCCGG
rnacentral:rRNA from 1 species